GACAGAGUAGCAACAUUGACUUUCAUGUCUUGUAAAAGACUCGCAUUCCGCAAGAUAUAUUUUACAAAUCGAAAACCAUCUUUGAAGCCUUGAAAGUAUAAAAUAGUACAUGAUUUGAGGUGAGUCAAGACACAUUCAUGAACUGAGGUUGAGCUUUUGCAACUCGCGUGUGAAUGUCAAAGGGGUUAAAAAUAAGAUUUAUUAAAAUAUAAGAUACAAAGAAAAGAACAAGCAAAAAAAAUAAAAUACUAAUCCACAAACCUUUUUACCACGUAUCACAGAAAUAUCAGGAUGAUUAUGAUAUUCAUCAAAACCAAACCAACAUAUUUCAAAUGUAGGGUUUUGA
rnacentral:lncRNA from 1 species